rnacentral:rRNA from 1 species
UGGCGUAUACAAAGAGAAGCGACCUCGCGAGAGCAAGCGGAACUCAUAAAGUACGUCGUAGUCCGGAUUGGAGUCUGCAACUCGACUCCAUGAAGUCGGAAUCGCUAGUAAUUGUAGAUCAGAAUGCUACGGUGAAUACGUUCCCGGGCCUUGUACACACCGCCCGUCACACCAUGGGAGUGGGUUGCAAAAGAAGUAGGUAGCUUAACCUUCGGGAGGGCGCUUACCACUUUGUGAUUCAUGACUGGGGUGAAGUCGUAACAAGGUAACCA